rnacentral:tRNA from 1 species
GCUCUUGUAGCUCAGUUGGUGGAGCACGGGUCUUAUGAGCCCGGGGUCGUGGGUUCGAGUAUAAUUCCCCACCAAGAGCA